CAACGUUCUCAGGGCGGGGUGGAAGUCCCCACCGGCGGUAAGCGCGGUUCGCCGCGCGGAGCCCGCGAGCGCCUGCCGGCCUGCCGGCGGGGUCAGCAGACUUCGGUGCGAUUCCGAGGCCGACGGUCAUAGUCCGGAUGAAAGAGAACGGGA
rnacentral:ncRNA from 1 species